GACGAACGCUGGCGGCGUGCUUAACACAUGCAAGUCGAGCGAUGAAGUUCCUUCGGGAAUGGAUUAGCGGCGGACGGGUGAGUAACACGUGGGUAACCUGCCUCAUAGAGGGGAAUAGCCUUUCGAAAGGAAGAUUAAUACCGCAUAAGAUUGUAGUUUCGCAUGAAACAGCAAUUAAAGGAGUAAUCCGCUAUGAGAUGGACCCGCGUCGCAUUAGCUAGUUGGUGAGGUAACGGCUCACCAAGGCGACGAUGCGUAGCCGACCUGAGAGGGUGAUCGGCCACAUUGGGACUGAGACACGGCCCAGACUCCUACGGGAGGCAGCAGUGGGGAAUAUUGCACAAUGGGGGAAACCCUGAUGCAGCAACGCCGCGUGAGUGAUGACGGUCUUCGGAUUGUAAAACUCUGUCUUCAGGGACGAUAAUGACGGUACCUGAGGAGGAAGCCACGGCUAACUACGUGCCAGCCGCCGCGGUAA
rnacentral:rRNA from 1 species